AUGAAAUAGGCUCAAGCCUUCUAUAUGGUAUGCAGCUAAUUAGCUGAUGUUCAUUUUCGAGUGUGUUGUUCACAGUCAAGCUGAGACAAUGCAUAAUAUGCAUUAUAAUGUACCAGGAAUGUGUCCUGCUUCUAACUGCCUCAUUUUACUCCUGCGACUCCCAACCAUGAAUAAAACCGUGCUUGAAAUCUUGAAAGAUGCUCCAGCAUCUCUUGCAGCCUUGCCUGCAGAUUCCUGAGGAGAAGGCCCUGAAGCGAGCUCCUUCCUAGGCUUUGGUUGUCACGUGGGAAGCCUGAAACUGCCCGUUACCAGAGAAAUCACCAUGGAUCCCUGCCAUCCUUCUUUAUAGGACUCUGUCAGAAGGUUUUUAUGGACACUCUACCUCACUGGCAGUUUUACUUCACUGUGUUAAGUGUUCAAGUUCCUACUACCAUGUUUUGCAAUGUUUUGUGGAAGCUUGUUUAGCAGUAUUGUUGUUGCAAUUACUUUCUAGAAGCAUCUUAUUUAUGGGAAAGUGGGAUAAACUAUGCCCAACUAACUAUGGUCUCAUUCAUUUUGGGGUAGGAAGGCAGGUUCUGCAUCAUGGUGUAGCUCAUUUUUUUUCUUACUGGUCUAUUUGGAGGGAAAAAAAUGAAAUAAUUAAUACUUAAUUGUAUCAAAUGGGUCCAAAAUUUGCUCUGAAUUGCAGGCACGUAACCCACUGGCAAUUGUACUUACAUUACCUGAAGGCAUUUAGAUUGCUUCAUAAGAUUCCCUUUUCUUUAGCCAAAUACAUAAUACUUCUCCUCUGAGAUCGAGCUGUUUUAUUUAGUAAUUAAGGUAGUUUGUGCAACAUCCUAAAGAUGCAAAGGGCAAAUACAUCAAUUCAAAAUCCAAAGACUAACUCAACGGCUCUUAAACCUUUAGUAUUCGGGAAUUUGCUGAAGACAGAGAAUUCUCUUGAAGGCAUGUGGCUCUACAUUUGGAUUUGGCCCAUUUUAAACCAGUAUCAGAGAUGUAAUGAAAAUAAACACUCCUAAAUCUAAUGGACGUUUAAUAAC
rnacentral:lncRNA from 1 species